rnacentral:lncRNA from 1 species
UGGGUCCUUAAAGAGGUUCCCUCUGUGUGUACCUGGCCAUGCUGGGCAUUGGGAUAUUGCAUCUUGUAUCAGGGUUGUGCCAGCUGAGCAAAGCCUGGGUGAGGCUGUCAGCCCUCGUGCCACUGUGAGAAGCCAGAAGAACAUGCCAAUGGAAAUUACAGCCCUUCAGAAGCCAUCCCCCGGUCCCUCCCUCCUGGCUACGCUGAGGCUGCUUGUGUGGAUGCCCCGGGACAGCACAGCACAGCACAGCACAGCACUGCAGAACCCCUGGUUCCUGGAAGAAGAGCAGCAACACCUCCCCUAAAAACAGAGCUGGCUGCUCUGGGAGGGGGCAUGAUGCCUGAGGGCAUGUGGGCAUCAGGAUACGUGUCCAGGUCCAUAAACCAGCCUAAUCCCUCCACCUUGUGUUUCUCUGAACAAUCUCAACACAGACGCAACCUUCGUCUCAACGGGGUCACGAUGUCAUGCCGUGCCUUACAGAGGAUUUCUCCUUGCAGCACACAUGCUUGCGGGUUCAGUCUGUGAUAUCCCCUCGAGAGGAUGCAUGGGUGUAGCUGGGGAUACAUCCUCCUCCGAUGGCAUGUUAUUUCAUGGUGCUUUCUAGAGAUAUAUUUUCACUUUUUUUCCUCCCAAACUGCUCAGUAUAUCAUUAAUGUUGCUUGACAUGGUAAAGAGAAAGCAGAGCUAAAACAGCAAUAUAUUUUUCUCAUUCAAUGGAAAGUAUAGAUUUUUGUUUGCCUUUUUUUUUUUUUAAUAAUGAAAGUCUGCAAUCUUAUAGAGCAUAGCCUCUCUAAAAGAUUUUAUGGUUAUUUAAGAGGAAUGUGGGCUGUAAAGAAAUGUAAGUUUAUUAUAUGCUUGGAUGAAAAUAUUUAGAUUUUCCUGGUAAAAAAAAAUGUGCUUUUUUAAAAAAAUAAUAAUAAUUAAUAUGCUAUAUAUGCUGAACAUUUUAUCAUUCCUUUGGAUUUUCACACCAGGGUAUACAUCUGAACACAAUAUAUUGCACAUGUAAUAUCAGUUCAGGAUAAACUUCCAAGGACGCUUGAAGUUGGUGUCCAAACUAUUCCUCUCCACUGUAUAGAAGAACCUCCCUCAAGCUGAGGCGCAGAUCUCUGUGGGCUCCCUGCAGUGGGUGAGCAGUCCCACACCCUGCUGCUCAUCCAGGAGCUGUAGGCUGGAUAAAUGUAUUUGUUUUAAAGCCAAUAGAGCUUCCAACAAGACCUGGGCUGUUUCUGUGCUGGACCUUUAUGUUCCCAUACAGGCUUGGUGUAACAAAUAUUUUCACACUGACUUUUUCUUUAAUUUUUCUUCACAUCAGGCAUUUUUCAGGUUCUACAUCAUCUAAAAAUUCAUUUGUUCUUCUUGCAUACUCUGCUUUGGAUCCAUUUAUGUGAUUGUGUAGGCUUAUCUUCACCUUUAACUAAUGAACAGACACAGGAAUAGCUUUACUGUUUGCUACUGCAAUAAGUAGGCCCUACUCAUGGGCCUGUGUUGUUCUACACAUGGUAUUUCUGAGUUCUUCAUUUUCAUUACUUUAAGCCUACAUUUAAAGCUUCUUCACGGCAAUAAAUUGGAAGAGUACUAAAAUAAUUAUUAAAAA